AGAGCUUGCUCUCUGGGUGGCGAGUGGCGGACGGGUGAGGAAUACAUCGGAAUCUACUUUUUCGUGGGGGAUAACGUAGGGAAACUUACGCUAAUACCGCAUACGACCUACGGGUGAAAGCAGGGGAACUUCGGUCCUUGCGCGAUUGAAUGAGCCGAUGUCGGAUUAGCUAGUUGGCGGGGUAAAGGCCCACCAAGGCGACGAUCCGUAGCUGGUCUGAGAGGAUGAUCAGCCACACUGGAACUGAGACACGGUCCAGACUCCUACGGGAGGCAGCAGUGGGGAAUAUUGGACAAUGGGCGCAAGCCUGAUCCAGCCAUACCGCGUGGGUGAAGAAGGCCUUCGGGUUGUAAAGCCCUUUUGUUGGGAAAGAAAUGCAGCCGGCUAAUACCCUGCUGUGCUGACGGUACCCAAAGAAUAAGCACCGGCUAACUUCGUGCC
rnacentral:rRNA from 1 species